AUUUUAUGGAGAGUUUGAUCCUGGCUCAGGACGAACGCUGGCGGCGUGCCUAAUACAUGCAAGUCGAGCGAACCUUUUAAAAGCUUGCUUUUGAAAGGUUAGCGGCGGACGGGUGAGUAACACGUGGGCAACCUGCCCUAUAGUUUGGGAUAACUCCGGGAAACCGGGGCUAAUACCGGAUAAUACAAUUUA
rnacentral:rRNA from 1 species